rnacentral:rRNA from 2 species
UGCAGUCGAGCGGAUGAGGGAGCUUGCUCCUGGAUUCAGCGGCGGACGGGUGAGUAAUGCCUAGGAAUCUGCCCAAUAGUGGGGGAUAACGUUCCGAAGGGAACGCUAAUACCGCAUACGUCCUACGGGAGAAAGCANGGGACCUUCGGGCCUUGCGCUAUUGGAUGAGCCUAGGUCGGAUUAGCUAGUUGGUGAGGUAAAGGCUCACCAAGGCGACGAUCCGUANCUGGUCUGAGAGGAUGAUCAGCCACACUGGAACUGAAACACGGUCCAGACUCCUACGGGAGGCAGCAGUGGGGAAUAUUGGACAAUGGGCGAAAGCCUGAUCCAGCCAUGCCGCGUGUGUGAAGAAGGUCUUCGGAUUGUAAAGCACUUUAAGUUGGGAGGAAGGGUUUCUGGCUAAUAUCCAGGAAUUUUGACGUUACCGACAGAAUAAGCACCGGCUAACUUCGUGCCAGCAGCCGCGGUAAUACGAAGGGUGCAAGCGUUAAUCGGAAUUACUGGGCGUAAAGCGCGCGUAGGUGGUUCGUUAAGUUGGAUGUGAAAGCCCCGGGCUCAACCUGGGAACUGCAUCCAAAACUGGCGAGCUAGAGUAUGGCAGAGGGUGAUGGAAUUUCCUGUGUAGCGGUGAAAUGCGUAGAUAUAGGAAGGAACACCAGUGGCGAAGGCGACCACCUGGGCUANUACUGACACUGAGGUGCGAAAGCGUGGGGAGCAAACAGGAUUAGAUACCCUGGUAGUCCACGCCGUAAACGAUGUCGACUAGCCGUUGGGCUCGUUGAGAGCUUAGUGGCGCAGCUAACGCAUUAAGUCGACCGCCUGGGGAGUACGGCNGCAAGGUUAAAACUCAAAUGAAUUG